rnacentral:rRNA from 1 species
GACGAACGCUGGCGGCGUGCCUAAUACAUGCAAGUAGAACGCUGAAGGAGGAGCUUGCUUCUCCGGAUGAGUUGCGAACGGGUGAGUAACGCGUAGGUAACCUGCCUGGUAGCGGGGGAUAACUAUUGGAAACGAUAGCUAAUACCGCAUAACAGUAGAUAUUGCAUGAUAUCUGCUUGAAAGGUGCAAUUGCAUCACUACCAGAUGGACCUGCGUUGUAUUAGCUAGUUGGUGAGGUAACGGCUCACCAAGGCAACGAUACAUAGCCGACCUGAGAGGGUGAUCGGCCACACUGGGACUGAGACACGGCCCAGACUCCUAAGGGAGGCAGCAGUAGGGAAUCUUCGGCAAUGGACGGAAGUCUGACCGAGCAACGCCGCGUGAGUGAAGAAGGUUUUCGGAUCGUAAAGCUCUGUUGUAAGAGAAGAACGAGUGUGAGAGUGGAAAGUUCACACUGUGACGG